AUUGAACGCUGGCGGCAGGCCUAACACAUGCAAGUCGAGCGGAGCGGCGGACGGGUGAGUAAUGCCUAGGAAUCUGCCCGGUAGUGGGGGAUAACGUCCGGAAACGGGCGCUAAUACCGCAUACUAUCAGAUGAGUCUAGGGCGGAUUAGUUAGUUGGCGGGGUAAAGGCCUACCUAGGCGACGACCCGUAACUGGGCUGAGAGGAUGAUCAGUCACCCUGGCACUGAGACGCGGUCCCGACUCCUACGGCGGGGAGCAGGUGGGAAGAUUGGACAAUGGGCGCAAGCCUGAUUCAGCCAUGCCGGGUGUGUGAAGAAGGUCUUCGGAUUGUAAAGCACUUUAAGUUGGGAGGCGUUACCAACAGAAUAAGCACCGGCUAACUUCGUGCCAGCAGCCGCGGUAAUUC
rnacentral:rRNA from 1 species